rnacentral:lncRNA from 1 species
ACCUGGCCGGGCUUCGCAAUUACCACCACUCGCCGAGGAUGCCAGCUGCUGCAGAGAGACGCCAAAAUAUGUGCAGCUGGUGCCAGCGUUUCACGUGGGAAACCUCCGAAGAUGAAGAAGAGCCGGACUGGGGAAUAAGGUUUAAGGAGCAUUGAGGACGCGGUCAGUAUUUUCCCGGAUUGACAUGGCUAAUUCCCGACACCAGGAAAGGCGCGGGAGCCCCAGCUGCUGCUCCCCGGCACGGCACGGAAAUGCGGGACAGGAAGUGAAGUCGAAUAAUUUAGCUAAUUAAACCAGCAAAGAAUUUAAAAGGACAGAAUGUAAUUACUGAUGAUGGAUUUAAGCCAGAACGUUGAGACUGGAAACAAUGUGCUUGUGUAAAGUGCCAUAGUUAAUUAACUGGGGUAGCUGAGGUAUAAUAUUUACAUAUUUGUAAAACACUCCAGGCGCGCGGAGCCUCUUUUCCCUCGCAGAAGACCUCUGAUGCAGUGUUGAGUUACAAGAAAAAUUGAAUUUACAAGGAAAUCUCCUGACUGCGGCGUUUUGCAGAGUUCGGGCAUGAUUUGGGGUCCUGGGUUUGGUGGCGGAGAGGGCCUUGCCCUGAUAAACCUAGGAGACUUAGUGAAAGCACUGCUUCAAGCUUAGCUUUUAGGGCAGC